CAUCGAUGUUGCAGUAAACACGGCGGGACACUGUUGUUGAUCGAUCGAUCACGGGGAGCCCCUACGCGAACGCGGCACUCACGUAGUAUCUGUGAAAAUUUCAAUUAAAGGGUCGAUUGAUUGCUUCUCAAAGGAUUUACGGGGAAUUAACGAUCGAUAUGCCAGCCACGUAUUCAUCGCGUAAACAUCAUCGGAGGAUACCUGCUACUUCGACGUUAUGCAGGUUUAAUCAAUGCAGCGUCGACCUUGACUCGGUUUCCUUUCCAAGCCAACAUCCAAGGAGUGUCUUCGCAAUUGCUCUUCAUUCUAGGAUAAUGAUACUUCAAUUAAAUUUCGCCGAAGCGUGAAAUCAAAUUACGUGCAUGCUCGUCGAGGUUAAUAAUACGCGAGAAAUAACUUUUCGUAGAUUGACAGCGGCAAGGAUACUUUUUAACGAGAUGUACACAGUACACAAAUGGAAGUGAAUAAAUAAUGUUGGGAGGAAUCGAUAAA